UUGAUGGCAACAAGAGGCUGUUGCCAUCAUUGGAACCUGGUGCUGGCCCGUUGACCUUGCAGAUUAAGUAAUGCUCAGGGGACAGAGUAUAUGAACCUUGCAAAUCCACAUAGGGAAGCAGAGUCAGACUCUGCAUCAGAAAGAGAUGCAGCUGCCAGCUCAGGUGCCUGAACCCAGAGCAGGACUGAAACAAAGGAGAAGCCCAGAUGAGUUCUUGUUUUCCUUCUAAAUAACUUGAGGUGACACAUCCCUGCUCAGCGUUACUGGCUGCGUAUUGUCAGUCUGGAGUACUGGCGCUCCAUCUGUGAGCUCCGGCUAGCAGCAGAUGGAGUGAUUUCUCAUGUAGUGUUACAGUAAUGACCAAUGUGACACAGAAGGAAAAUUCUGUGACAAUAUGGAGGAGGGUCUUGUGUCAGCCGUAGCAGAACCACCUUGACUCACUGAGUGCCACUGCUGAGUGUCUUUGUGUGGUUAGGAUGGAGAGGAUCCUGGCUGUUUUCAGAACUCAAACUGUGGAACGAGAGAGCAUGAAAAAACAAGCUAAUUAGAGAGAAAUCAGGAGAAAAGAAGCAGGGAGAAAAGAGAAGACAGUCUGAGCAUUAAUGAGACUGAUUUGGAAAGAGGAUGUGACAAGCUCUUCAAAAGCAUUAUUGUCAAAUGUGUCACUGUUUCAUAGACGGCUACUGCUACCUUUGAGCUUCACGCUGAUAGUUAAUGAUUUGAAACUAUAAAAAGAUUGAAAAGGAAAGAUCUCAGAGCAAUGUUGCCAAGCCAAGCAGAUGUGAACAAUGUCAGCCUGCUGUGAGGAGGAGAAAGCCCACCCUGUGACAUAAGCUCCCGAAGCCAUGUAGAAAACAGAAUUUCUUCAGACCACCCCACGAUUUCUCCAACAUGUCUCCAGCAUGAGCGCUCUCAUCACAACUUUUUGUGGCAUCUACAAGAUUUGUGCCAGCACUCACUGAGAUGGUCUGCAGUCUCCUGGUUAGUAGGUUGCCGAAGCCUGAGCUUGCAUCUCCUUUCCUUUCCCAGCGCCACUUGUGCAAGGUUUCCUUCAGGAAGAUCACAAUUACUUCAACCUGAGGGCUUCUCUUUUCCAGGAUGAAUAAACCCAAUUCUCUGAGCCUUUCCUCCUAGGAAAGGUGUUCCGUCCCUCUGGUCAUGUUGGUGGACUCCUCUGGACUUGCUCCAACAAGUCCACACCCUCCCUGUGCUGGGGGUCCUCGAGCUGGAUGCAGCCCUGCAAGUGCUGCAGGUGUAGAGGAGCAGAAUCCCAUCCCUUGUCCUGAUGGCCAUGCUGCUUUGAAUGCAGCCAAGACUGUGACUGGCUUGUGGGGUUAUUGCUGGCACCAGAGCCAGGGAGGGGAGAGCAAACCAAGCAGUUUUUUUUUUUACCUGCAGUUCCCCAGCAUAUUAUUGAAAUAUCCUUCUCUGAAAGUGAAUGCUCUUUGCUAGUAUAAUUACCAGAACACUUCUUCAUUUAUCUGUGAUUAUAGGAAACUGAAGUAUUAUCUGGGGAACAAAAUACUCUGUAACUCAAAAAGGAUAUAUAGCAGCUCUCUUUUUAAAGAUGUAUGAAAAUAAAAUGCUGGGCAAUGUCUGUAUGGUUGCAGUCCUGCUCCAAAGGUAGAAGACCAGGAGAUUUUUACCCGGGCAAGCCCAAGGGCACCAAUGAGAUCAUUCUUUAAACAGAAGAAUAUUUUUGUUAUUGAGCCUUCCCAGUCUGACAGUUUUUUUUGGCUGCCUCUGUGGUGACUGUUAAGGGUAUGGGAUGCUGCUGGUCUCUGUCUUCCCAGUACCUGGUGCUGCAACAGCCACCAAUCCCCCCAUCCCACACACACACACAUUCAGAGGGGCUGUUUGCACUGCCCUCAGCACUACAUCCACUCUACCAUGUCAGGCUGCACUCUCCUCUGGGGACACAAGAGCAAAUCUCCACCUUUGUGCCAGGUUGUGAAAGCAAUUGUAAAUUCAAUGUUAAAUGAAAAAAAAAAAAGCGUUGCCUAAGUGCAUACUGAGAUCAAUAAAAUAUGCAAGAAUGGACUCCUGCUGUUCAGGGCUGCAGCCAUCUCUAACCUAGAGCAGGGAGUCCUGGAGGAGUACACUGGGGCUGCUCUAAGUGACAGCUGAUAGGAAUCCUACAUUAAUGCAACAGGUAGGGCUCAUAUGUUUGCACCCAGAGGUCUCAUGCUCAGGUGCCAGCUAUGAGGGUACUCUCAGGAUGCCUCUGUCUGAAAAGGUAGUGAUAAAGGAAAGAAACAGUGAUAAAGAAAAUUCUAGCAAUUAUGGUUUUGUGCCUGGGUUAAAUCCUUCCAGCAAUAGGUCAUUUCUUGUUUUGCAGAAGAG